GGGAAUGAUUAGGAGGCUGGUGCCCCUCGCGGUCUUCAACAUCGUUGUCUUACUGAUAAGGUAGGAGUUGGGUUCGAUUCCCAAGCGUUCCCG
rnacentral:tRNA from 1 species